rnacentral:rRNA from 1 species
GACGAACGCUGGCGGCGUGCCUAAUACAUGCAAGUAGGACGCAGUUGCGAACGGGUGAGUAACGCGUAGGUAACUGCCUAUUAGAGGGGGCUAACUAUUGGAAACGAUAGCUAAUACCGCAUACUAGUAGAUGGACCUGCGUUGUAUUAGCUAGUAGGUAGGGUAAUGGCCUACCUAGGCAAUGAUACAUAACCGACCUGAGGUGGUGAUCCGCCACACUGGGACUGGGACAAGGGCCCGACCUCUACGGGAGGCAGCAGUAGGGAAUCUUCGGAAAUGGGGGGAACGCUGAACGAGCAACGGCGCGUGAGUUAAGAAGGGUUUCGGAUCGUAAAGGUCUGUUGUGAAGGAAGCGGUACUUAAACAGAAAGGGACGGCUAACUACGUGCCAGCAGCCGCGGUAAUUC